UUUCCGUAGGUGAACCUGCGGAAGGAUCAUUCAUAAUAAGUGCUUUAUGGCACUUUUUUAAAUCCAUAUCACCUUGUGUGCAAUGUCAGGGUUGGUCUCUUUUGAUCAGCCCCAAACAUCAACUAUUAUCUCAACUCUUUGUCUGAAAGAUAUUAUGAAUAAAACAAUUCAAAAUACAACUUUCAACAACGGAUCUCUUGGCUCUC
rnacentral:misc_RNA from 1 species